UACGUAGGGUGCAAGCGUUAAUCGGAAUUACUGGGCGUAAAGCGUGCGCAGGCGGUGAUGUAAGACAGGUGUGAAAUCCCCGGGCUUAACCUGGGAACUGCAUUUGUGACUGCAUCGCUGGAGUGCGGCAGAGGGGGAUGGAAUUCCGCGUGUAGCAGUGAAAUGCGUAGAGAUGUGGAGGAACACCGAUGGCGAAGGCAGCCCCCUGGGCUAACACUGACGCUCAUGCACGAAAGCGUGGGGAGCAAACAGG
rnacentral:rRNA from 1 species